rnacentral:rRNA from 1 species
UCGGGGCAGGGUGAGUCGACCCCUAAGGCGAGGCCGAAAGGCGUAGUCGAUGGGAAACAGGUUAAUAUUCCUGUACUUGGUGUUACUGCGAAGGGGGGACGGAGAAGGCUAUGUUAGCCGGGCGACGGUUGUCCCGGUUUAAGCAUGUAGGCUGGUUGUCCAGGCAAAUCCGGAUAAUCAAGGCUGAGGUGUGAUGACGAGGCACUACGGUGCUGAAGUAACAAAUGCCCUGCUUCCAGGAAAAGCCUCUAAGCAUCAGGUAACAUCAAAUCGUACCCCAAACCGACACAGGUGGUCAGGUAGAGAAUACCA